GCCCCACAGCUUGUGGGGCGCCUACCUUUUCUUGGGGGUUGCGGGCAGCCCCGGGCGAAAGAAGAGGGGGAGGAUUGGGAACCCAGCGGGACGCGCGCUCGGUGAGGAGGAGGAGGGAACCGGCCGGAGGUGUGGAGGGCGCUGACGUGUUUGCUCGGGCACCUCGCAGUGUCACUCCGGACUUCCGAGUGUCGCCCUGCGCCCACCCGGUUUCCUCCACUGUAAAGACGGGGAUGUGGGCAGACCUGCCGGCGCUCCCCUGAGUGCUGCCGGCACGACCCGCCCCGAGGCCGCAGGACCUGGGCCUGCCGUCGGCGUCGGGCUCGCGGUCAGCGGGCUUGGCGUUCCGGCCCCUCCCCUGCCUGAGGGCGCGAAGGGUGAACCCGGUCCACUGGGCAGUGGGGCGAGCGCGCCCCGUGUGUUCUUGGAUUGUAAUCUUUCAAGUAAAAAAUUUGAGUUUAGGGGAACAAGAGCAAAAGGAAAAUAUUAACAGGACUUCAAAGGUCAGCUAGAGAAAUGCCUGCAGUUUUAAGAUCUCCCAUGCUAGCAAAGCAGCAGUUGAAUCUGACUUUUUUCCCUUGGUUUUGUCACCCUCUUGCUGUUCAGUAUAUUUUAACAUCUGAUGGGUGCCUUUUUUCCUUUAGCCUCGAGGAUCCUUUUGAAUGCACUGGAUGAUCUAUUUUUUUAAAAUUCUUAAGUUAACUAUGUUAUUUAUAUAUGUUGACUACAAUCCAAAAGAGUAGACAACUAUUUUUUACCCACUUUUUAAAAAUCAGCUUCAUUAUUGUUUAAACACCAUAAAGUUCACUCAUUUUAAAUGUGCGAUGCAACGAGUUUUAAUAAACAUGCAGAGAUGUACAACCAUCACCACCACCUGAUUUUAGACUCUUUCCAUCACUCCAAAAACAUCUCUCAUGCCUGUUUGUGAUCAGCCUUCAUUCUCGCCACAUAACCUCAGACAACAACCACUACUACUUUCCUUUCCAUCUCUAUAGAUUAGAGAUAGCCUCUAAACACGAGCAGCAGUCAUGGCUGCAAGGGGCAUUAUCAAGCAAACGGUGUAGAACCAGGAUGCAGAAGGAGGAAAUGGCAUGGCAGUUGAGAAACCUGCAAGUAUUCUGGGGCAAAACAGGUGAAGAUACAAGAAAUCAGGAGUCUGCAAACCAGAAGAGAACCUUACCAGAACUUGACCAUAUUGGCACCCUAACCUAAGACUUCCAGCCUCCAGAACUGGAAAACAAUAAAGUUCUAUUGUUUGAGCCA